GAUGAACGCUAGCGGCAGGCUUAACACAUGCAAGUCGAGGGGUAUAGUUCUUCGGAACUAGAGACCGGCGCACGGGUGCGUAACGCGUAUGCAAUCUACCUUUUACAGGGGGAUAGCCCAGAGAAAUUUGGAUUAAUACCCCAUAGUAUGUUAGAGUGGCAUCAUUUUAACAUUAAAGUUCCAACGGUAAAAGAUGAGCAUGCGUCCCAUUAGCUAGAUGGUAAGGUAACGGCUUACCAUGGCGACGAUGGGGAGGGGUCCUGAGAGGGAGAUCACCCACACUGGAACUGAGACACGGACCAGACUCCUACGGGAGGCAGCAGUGAGGAAUAUUGGACAAUGGGCGCAAGCCUGAUCCAGCCAUGCCGCGUGCAGGAAGACGGUCCUAUGGAUUGUAAACUGCUUUUGUACAGGAAGAAACACUCCCUCGUGAGGGAGCUUGACGGUACUGUAAGAAUAAGGAUCGGCUAACUCCGUGCCAGCCGCCGCCGUAAUAC
rnacentral:rRNA from 1 species